rnacentral:piRNA from 1 species
UGGUGGUAAUGUCGCUUUGGGCUUCCAAA